GUUGCUUCAGCAGCUCACAUAAAAUUUGGAACAAUACAGAAAAGAUUUAGCCCAAACCUUGGCAAGGAUGGUAUACACAUAAAUGAAUGAAACAUUUCAUAUUUUU